UGGCAUACCCUGACUCCUACCCUAAAC
rnacentral:piRNA from 1 species